rnacentral:lncRNA from 1 species
UACCUCACUAUGUCACAGCUACAACCUGCGUUGCACAUUGCCUGCUUAUAGCGCGCCUGACCUCAAACAAAGACGCUUGCGUUGAACAGAGCGCCUUUUUUUACUUUCUUACGAGCACUGCGAACUUGAAGAACAGGGAAGUGGACCACGAAUUGCUUCUAUUCAUCCACUGAAGGACACCUCCUAAGAAUAUGACAUUGCCCUUCUGUAUACUAAUGGUCAUCGUCAUAAACAAAAUCUUUGCUUGGCCUGGUCCCCCCAGUGCUUCCGGAAAAAUGGAGUACUGUAAUAAAACGCUGAAACCAUUGUCCGUGUGCUGUUUCUGCGAAUUGUUGCAGUGUUACCUGCGCAGAAGUGGCACUUCGAACGACUGCCCGCCUGAAUGCCGGUGCAUCCCCUUAGAUUUUGCGCACGGGGUAUCUUAUGGAAAAGGAAAUUGCUUUAAGGAGAAAUGGAACUAAUCUCAAUAAACUACCUCGCAUCGGUGCAAAAGAAGAAAUGGCUGAAUUCACACGGAGGUUUUUCAGGUGACAGCGAGUUCAAUAUUUAUACGGAGAUUGGCAUGGGGCUAAGGAAGCGGGUGUAGCGACCUUCUGAACACUUCUAGCCCAUUACACCUGUAUUCAUACAAAAUAUAGCUGCAAUGAUCUACUUGAAUCACGAAGUCCUGGAAAAAAAAAUGUGCCUGAGUUCUCACAAUAAUUGA